rnacentral:rRNA from 1 species
AGAGUUUGAUCCUGGCUCAGGAUGAACGCUAGCGGCAGGCUUAACACAUGCAAGUCGAGGGGCAGCGGGAGUAGCAAUACUUGCCGGCGACCGGCGCAAGGGUGCGUAACGCGUGAGCAACAUGCCCGUAUCAGGGGGAUAAUCCAGGGAAACUUGGUCUAAUACCCCAUAGUAAUCUUAGGAGGCAUCUUUUAAGAUUUAAAGCUUUGGUGGAUACGGAUUGGCUCGCGUGACAUUAGCUAGAUGGUAGGGUAACGGCCUACCAUGGCUACGAUGUCUAGGGGUUCUGAGAGGUAGAUCCCCCACACUGGAACUGAGACACGGUCCAGACUCCUACGGGAGGCAGCAGUGAGGAAUAUUGGACAAUGGAUGGAAAUCUGAUCCAGCCAUGCCGCGUGCAGGAAGACUGCCCUAUGGGUUGUAAACUGCUUUUGUAUGGGAGCAAUAAGCCCUUCGUGAAGGGUGAUGAGAGUACCAUACGAAUAAGCAUCGGCUAACUCCGUGCCAGCAGCCGCGGUAAUACGGAGGAUGCAAGCGUUAUCCGGAUUUAUUGGGUUUAAAGGGUGCGUAGGCGGUUGGAUAAGUCAGCGGUGAAAGUUUUCUGCUUAACAGGAAAAAUGCCGUUGAUACUGUCUGGCUAGAAUAUGGUUGCUGUGAGUGGAAUGUGUGGUGUAGCGGUGAAAUGCUUAGAUAUCACACAGAAUAUCGAUUGCGAAGGCAGCUCACAAAGCCAUUAUUGACGCUGAGGCACGAAAGUGUGGGGAUCAAACAGGAUUAGAUACCCUGGUAGUCG